rnacentral:lncRNA from 1 species
UCUGAAACUGUUUAUAAUUUUUCUUUGUUGUUCUUAACAAACAUUUCAAAUUUUGACUCUUUGAGUUUAGAGUUUGUAGUAGAUGUAUCUCUUUAUUCGCGUAGCACUUUGAGCAUGGUAGUACAUUUAGCAACUCAACUAGACAAUUGAAAAGGUCUGUAGCUUGUUAGCUGAUGGUUUAUUGAAUUUUAUAUGUAGCUGGAAAGGUUCUUUUAUUCUUGUAAUAUCACCUUU